rnacentral:rRNA from 1 species
CCUGGUGAUUUUAGCGAAGGGGUCCCACCCGUUCCCAUCCCGAACACGGCAGUUAAGCCCUUCAGCGCAGAUGGUACUUGGCCUUAAGGCCCGGGAGAGCAUGUCAUCGCCAGGA